UACGUAGGGAGCAAGCGUUGUCCGGAAUCAUUGGGCGUAAAGAGCGUGUAGGCGGCCCGGUAAGUCGGUUGUGAAAGUCAAGGGCUCAACCCUUGAAAGCCGACCGAUACUGCCGGGCUAGAAUCCGGAAGAGGCGAGAGGAAUUCCUGGUGUAGCGGUGAAAUGCGCAGAUAUCAGGAGGAACACCAAUGGCGAAGGCAGCUCGCUGGGACGGUAUUGACGCUGAGACGCGAAAGCGUGGGGAGCAAACAGG
rnacentral:rRNA from 1 species